CUGGCGAAGCCCGGGCAGGGCCGCACACGGCUCGGGGAGCCGCCUCGGACAAGAGGGCUUCGCCACCGCCGUCCGUGCUCAGGCUGCCAGGCCUGCUCUCCUGCUCCGUUCCCCUCCAAACGCUGCACAGAAAUCUCCACUCCCGCUUGUCCCUCGCUUCUAGGCACCUGACCCUUGCUAUACACCACCCAGCUGCGCCUAACUGUCUCCAGAUGUAGAAGGACCUUUCUGGACUUUCCAAAAACAAGAAGAUGGAUGAGGAAAAUACAGACCCCACAGAACGCAAAGCAUGGAGGAGAUGGAGAAAUCCUACUAUAUGGCAAACAGAAAAGAAAGGAAAAUGGAACAAGGCAUAAGGUCCUAGGACUGCACAUGGCCUGUGAGAAGGUUGAGAGAGUCUGCAGUAGUGAUCUGUAACAGAACUGCCUGAUGGGACUGCCAAAUAAAAUGUGGCUGCUACUAAAAAAUACACUGCAAUGAAAAAAAAAAUAUGAAGACUAUUCAGUUUAAGCACUUGACUAAAUGUUUCCUGAUACAGUGCUACUCAAACAUUAAUACAAUAGAGUUGGGGGGUCAUUGGCAAACAAAACGUAACUAUAACAACCUAACACCAACAGUAAAUAAAGGAACCUUCCUGGGAGGAUCAACCUGGCAUCACUAUGAACAAGGGAGAUCUACAGAAUCACUUCAUGGAUUGCUCAGCUGUUGCUGAGCAUUUUUAAACUGUUACGUGGAUUAUGCUGACCUUAUAGGAGCAUUGGAUAAAAUGAUCCCAGUCAUUUAGAGUUUGUCCCCAACUUCAUAUCAUUUUACUUCCACGUGAGCAAUUUUUUCUAAGUUUGACAGACCCAGGUUUGUGUAUUGGUUAAGUUCUUUCAGCCCAACCUAUCGGAGGUGCCAUAUAACAUUACUAGGAGGGCAGCUUUGAAUAGCACACAAUGCUUGCUCAGGUUAUUGAUUGCCUGGAUGCAGGCAGGACAAUGAAUACUUCAGGGAGCUUCCAAAUAUCUUUCAGAGGUAAGAUGCUAUAAAAGUUAAAAGAGCUGAGGAUCAGGAUUGCCCAGGAGUUCUCAGUCUUACACGCGUGGCCAUAUGAGGAAGUCUUUAAUGGGUGCCGCGACUGAACUGUUCACAAGCACUGCAAUGCUCACGAGCCCCCACCAUCGCUAUUACUGGCACUCUUCCAGCAUGCCUGAUACCUAUAACUUAACGGUAUCAUGAGAGAAGACAGGUUCCUAAUAGGGGAAGCACAGCGGCGGACUCGUACAAAACUCCUGGGGACUCUGGGAACUUGUGGGAGGAAGCCAGUAUGAGCAAAUGAUAGACAGGGGGUUUUGCAGGUAUAGACUAAGCUACCACCAGGAAAGGAUUCAUAGCUGCAGAUCUUGGGAAAGAGCCCAUCAGCUGGCUGAAUCAGGUAAGUCAUAUGCUCCCCUCCUCAGCUUUUCUUUCCAGCUCAUGCUUGUUUUAUCUUCUGA